rnacentral:rRNA from 1 species
AUUGAACGCUGGCGGCAUGCCUUACACAUGCAAGUCGAACGGCAGCACGGGAGCAAUCCUGGUGGCGAGUGGCGAACGGGUGAGUAAUAUAUCGGAACGUGCCCAGUCGUGGGGAUAACGUAGCGAAAGCUACGCUAAUACCGCAUACUAUCUAUGGAUGAAAGCGGGGGAUCGCAAGACCUCGCGCGAUUGGAGCGGCCGAUAUCAGAUUAGGUAGUUGGUGAGGUAAAGGCUCACCAAGCCGACGAUCUGUAGCUGGUCUGAGAGGACGACCAGCCACACUGGGACUGAGACACGGCCCAGACUCCUACGGGAGGCAGCAGUGGGGAAUUUUGGACAAUGGGCGCAAGCCUGAUCCAGCAAUGCCGCCGUGCGGGAUGAAGGCC